GAGGGGAUAGCUCAGUGGUAGAGCAUGUGCUUAGCAUGCAUGAGGUCCUGGGUUCAAUCCCCAGUCCCUCCA
rnacentral:tRNA from 1 species